rnacentral:rRNA from 1 species
GACGAACCGUGCGAACGUUGUUCGGAAUCACUGGGCUUAAAGGGCGCGUAGGCGGGCUGCCAAGUCCGUAGGUGAAAUCCCCCGGCUCAACCGGGGAACGGCCUCGGAUACUGGCGGCCUGGAGGGGGGGUAGGGGGCGUGCGGAACUGUGGGUGGAGCGGUGAAAUGCGUAGAGAUCGGAAAGAACACCAACGGCGAAAGCACUCUGCUGGGCCGACACUGACACUGAGAGACGAAAGCUAGGGGGAGCGAAUGGG